rnacentral:misc_RNA from 1 species
GAUGAAGAACGUAGCGAAAUGCGAUAAGUAAUGUGAAUUGCAGAAUUCAGUGAAUCAUCGAAUCUUUGAACGCACAUUGCGCCCGCCAGUAUUCUGGCGGGCAUGCCUGUUCGAGCGUCAUUUCAACCAUCAAGCCCCCGGCUUGUGUUGGGGACCUGCGGCUGCCGCAGGCCCUGAAAACCAGUGGCGGGCUCGCUAGUCACUCCGAGCGUAGUAAUACAUCUUGCUCAGGGCGUGCUGCGGGUUCCGGCCGUUAAAAAGCCUUAUUUACCCAAGGUUGACCUCGGAUCAGGUAGGAAGACCCGCUGAACUUAAGCAUAUCAAUAAGCGGAGGA